UAUUGAGAACACUGUUUCUCCGGCACUUCCUAGAAUGAAAGUACUUGUCAGUCAGAAGCAUGGGGGAGGAGAGAUGGCUGUGAAGAAGGGUGCAGACGGAGUAGCAACUGACAGUGCAGCUGAGUACUGAAGCCAGUCAACUACCAGUGCUGGAAAGCAGAUCUGGAUGGGAUCUAUCAGGGAAUCAGUCAGCAACUGGGCAACUCAACUCAACAAGGAAGCACUCUGUGCCUGCAAGCAAGAGUCCUCCUUCCCGGCUUGCCUACUUUGGGUUCACCAACCCCUGCAGCUAAGUGACUCAGGAGAAACCUUGCGGUCUUCCUGCUGACUUCUGGGACUCCUCGACUGUCACAACUUGUGAAUGAGAUCCCUGCUCUCCAACCUGCUCAUCCUGGGUUCACCAGCUUCUGCAGCUUCGUGAAUUGGGAAGGAACUCUAUCCUGACCCAAGGACUUGGGACGUUCCAACCCCUACAAUCGGUGGGAAGUCCCAAGCCUACACUGUGAGAAAACGUACAUCAAAAGUGGGCAAUAGUCAGCAUCGGAGUGUCAUGUUAGAAACCAGAUCCCAAUCUUUGGCCUCCAUGCUAAGCCAGAGCACCCUGAAAAGUAUACAUACACUCACCAUUCCUGGGAAGUUGGUGGUCAAAACGGAUAGUAUAAAAGGAUUGUAAAUGAAGACUAGGAUAAGCAAGGGGCAGGGGAAGUGGUGUGUGUGUGUGUGACAAGGUGAUCUGAAUGUCCAGGAAAAAUUGUGCAGGUUGUUGAAAAGUGGCGAGGUUCACUGAUUUCUUUUAAGUUUUCCAAGAAAGUGUUAAACUUUUAUGUUAUUAAAAGAUAAGGCAGAAUCUUUGGCUGCUCCUUCUCAAUAACUGGGACUAAAGCGUCUAUAAAGAAGCCCUGCAGCUUCUUUCUCUUACCAGAAGGUAGAUAUAACAAAUAAAAAUCCUGGUUCUGAAGUUAGAAAAACAUUCACUUGACCUUAGGAAAAUGGCUUAAUUUCCCUGAGCCUCAGUUUCCUUACCUGUUAAAUAGGGACAAUAAUAAUGUCUAUUUUUUAUCGUAAGUUUUUGUAGAUAUUAAAUCAGAUAAUGUACAUAUACUACUUAGCCCAGAAUUUGUGAUUUAGUUAGCACUCAACAGGUUAAUAUUGAUGAUUAUUUUUCCACAUUCUUUCUGCUCUCCUUACCCAUUCUCUUUGCCCCAUUUCCCUUCCCUUUAUUUUUUACCCCAGCAUAGAGCCUGUCAUGGAUUAAACUGUGUCCCCUAAAAAGUUGUGUCAGCUUGCCUAGGCCAUGAUUCCCAGUAUUGUAUGGUUGCCCUCCAUUUUGUGAUCUGAUAUAAUUAUGUGUUAUAAAUCCUAGCCUCUAUGCCUGUGGUUAUGGUCCCAUCUGGGAGUGAAUUGUCUGCUACGUUAAUGAGACGUGAUUAGAUUGUGUUCAUGAGGACUAGGGUAGUGUGCACCACCCUUGCCUGAGUCACAACUUAUGUCUUACAAGAGAUAAAAGGAGAGAGAAGUGAGCAGAGAGGAGGGACCUCCCACCACCAAAAAAGAACAGCCAAGAGCAGAGUGUGUCCUUUGGACUGGGGUCCCUGUGCUGAGAAACUCCUAGACCCAGGGAAAGAUUGAUGCCAAGACCUUCCCCCACAGCUGAAAGAGACAGGAAGACUUCCCCUAAAACUGGCACCCUGAAUUAGAACUUCUAGCCUCCUAAACUGUGAGAGAAUAAAUUUCUGUUGGUUAAAGCCAUCCACUUGUGGUAUUUCUGUUAUAGAAGCACUAGAUAACUAAGACAGAGCCCAAUUGUAAUUCUAUUUCUAAACAUUUAUUAAGCAUCUAUCAGUCAUCAUUAAACAAUAUUUCAAAAGAAUCAAUAUGUAUGUGUGGAUUUACUAAACAAUUAUCAGAAGCAAUGGGCUGAAAGACAUGAAUCAGACACUGUGUACUUUGUCGCUGCCCAGUGGGUGCACAAUCACACAGUGAUGCAAUGUGGAUUGUUACUCUGUAGCUUGGGGCAACCUUGCCAUUGGUGGCUGGCCUUGAUGGGGAGUGAAGACUGCAGUGUUUGGAUUCUUGAGAAGGCCCAUUCCCAUUUGGAAUGGAGGCCUCUGGAUAAGUGCUGCCUGGAGUGAGGGUUAGGGUGGAGAGGGACCACUUGUCCUACCUCCUAGGGUUCCUGAGCAGACUGUAGGGAUUUUGAGGGAAAGAUUCUCUCAGAAGUCUGAGAAGUGGGCAUACCUAGAAAAUUGCAGUGUUCCACUCAGAGACAUUUGGCUCCACUAUAGCUAGACAAGAAGCUGGGGAGAAUGUUUCACAGAGCCCCCUCUCUCUGCUCUUUCCCUGCUGAUACUUCUGUUGUACCUGACCUGUUCCCCACCACUUCCCACUAUCUUCACUCCCAGCCCCCAAGUUCCUGCUUCUGCAAAUUCUUUCAGUUCCCUGAAGGAGAUUCAUACUUUCUUCUUUGGUUGCUGCUUCCUCUGCCUGGAAUAUUCUUCUUGACCUGGCUAAGUCCCAUUUGACCUCAAGACACAGCCUAAGUUCCACCUCUUGAAAGUUUUCCUUCAACCUUAUCCCUACAAUAAGGUGCCUCCAAUGUAUUCUGUGGUCUCAAUGCUUUUUGCUGUUACAGCCCCUGUCACUUGGUAUGUAAUUGCCAUGACCUUGCACUCUUCUGUAGAAGACCUUGCACAGCUCCUAUUGAAACUGUAUUUGUUUAAUCUCUGUGUCUGUAACACAUAGUUAGUGCCUGAUACAUAGAAAGUGCUUAGGAAAUGUUUGUAGAACAAAUAAUAAAAAUCUCCUGGAGACUUGCAGACAACAUGGCGCCAAUGACAGAAGCACCAUGCCAUGGCUCCACGGCAAAGACCCAAAAAGCUAAGUAAAACAGGGACAGAUGUCAACCCUGAAACCCAAAGUGUCAAAUGAAGAGACAAAGAGUUCAGCCAAGCACUGAAUGGAAUAAGAAACUUACAGAGAACAGAGAGCGAGGAGAUAUACGUGCAGAGGUCUCCUAUCAGCUAAUGCAGCAUGGAUUCGCCAUCUUGGACUCCUGUCAGAGAUCAGCAGACAGGUAGCAUGAGAAAGGAGCUUCAUGGAGCUCCCAGCAGGAGACAGAGCACCCAGUAACCAGCAAUACACGCUUUCCUACCCCCAUCCUCUCCCCGCUGCUCUACCUCUGCUUUUCCUGGCUGGCAGCAGUGGCUCAGCUGGCCAGGAAGUGCAGUGUCCAUGCUACUUGGAUUCAACCUGACCACAGGGAGUACAGGAAAGUAGCUUCACGAGGUUCCCAGCAGGAGACAGAGCACUCUGUAACCAAAGAUACACCCUUUCCUAACCCCCACCCUUCUCUCUUCCCCACCUCCUGGCCUCCUCUGCUUCCAGCCAGCUGCAGUCUCUUGGCCAGAAGGCAAGAGCUUCGGCCCAGGCCACUUGGGAUUCACCCCACCCACACUGGCUGUCUCCCUGAGUGCCAUUUGUCUGAUGCUAAUGUUGCUCUUUUCUGUUUCUUUUGGUUUCUUCCGUACCUCCCAUCACCUCCCCCUCCUUUCUCUUGAACACCUGGCUCCAUGUGCCAUCUUUGCUUCUUCUUGAAAGGCUGUGAAGCACCACUAGACUGGGGAACCACUCCCCUGGCCCACGACACCACACUGGUGGGAUUCCUGGGGCCUCCCCCCCCACUUUGUUUUGUUUUGCUUUGUUCUACUCUGUUUAUUCAUUUGUUUUCUUUUUCUUUUCAUGGCUGGGGAGCCCCUUCUAGCCAGGCUGCACUGCAUGGCUUAGGAGCCACUUCCCCAGUCUGUGUAGCCCCGGGGGCAUUUAAUUCUUCUUUCUUUCUCUGUUUUUUCCUUUCUGUCUCUCUUGAUUUCUCCAUUCUUGUCUCUCUAUACUUCCCUUCUUUCCCUAUCUCCUGAAUACCUGGAACUGUGUGAUAUCUAUACCCCCUCUAGCCAGGCUAUAUUUUGCAGCCUGGGAGCCACUUCUGUGGUCUUUGCAGCCACACUGGUGGGACCACUGCAGGCUUUUCUUUUCUUUCUUUCCAAAUUUUUAUCCAGUUAUUUCUUUUUCUUUUACCCUUCUCUUUUCUUUUUUCCACUUCUCAGUUUCUCAUCUCUCCACUCCAAUACAAGCUGCCUUAGUACUUUUUUCUUUUGGGCUCCUGCUUCUCUCUCCUCGCUCUUCUCUUUCCCUUACCUAUAUUAGCUCCACACAUCACAACCUACCCCCUCAUUCCUGCCUACCAGCACCAUGCACUGGACAUCAUACCCCUGAGCAGCACAGGCAUGGCCUACUAGAACCUGCCCUGCACUGAUUGCUGGCCUGCCCUGUUGGCCCUAGUAUAUGUACCAAACAACCCAUCCCAGCCCUGCCCCUUCAGCUGGACCUACCCUGCUUCACCAUAGCUAAGUGACUGGCCCUGUCCAUUGGACAAAGAGGAGAAAAGUAUCAUAAACACAGAUGAGCAAACAACAAAGAACACGCAGACUGCUCAGACAUAACCAAAUAAAACCAAAAAAAAAAAGUAGAAGGAAACAAAUAAAUCUACAAUCAAUAAAUGAAGAAAACAACUACUGAAUGUCUCGAAGACAGCAGACAAUAUCAAAACAUUGAAAACCAGUACAGGAUGGCUCUAGUAGGCAUCCAAAAUAAAACACCAGAUGACUUUCCAGUUGGAGAAAAGGCACUAAAACUACCUGACAGGAAAUUCAAAUAUCUAAUAUUCAGAGCUAUCCAAGAGUUGAAGCAAAAAGCACACAAAAAUGAGGAAAAAAUAGGCAAAUUCGUGGAAAAGGCAGACAAAUUCACAGAAAAUACAGGUAAAAAAGUGGAAUAAUUCAGGAAAAUAAUGCAUGAACAAAAUGUCUAAAUAAAUUCACAAGUAGAAAUCAAACAAAAACAACAACUAGAAAUCCAAAAGAUAAACAACAAAAUUUCAGAAAUGGACAGUGUCAUAGAAGGGCUGAGGAGCAGGUUUCAAAUGAUGGAAGACAAAACCAGCAAAACUGAAGACAAACACUUGGAUAUAACUGUUUGAGGAAAGAUCAGAAAAAAGAAUGACGAAACCAUGAGAACUAUGUGGAUACAAUCCAAAGCAAAAGUUUACAAGUGAUUGGAGUUCCAGAACAGGGAGAGAAAAUGGAAAACUCAUGAAAGAAGAAAAGCUGACCAUCCAAGAAGCUCAACCAAACCCAUAUAGGAUAGACCCCAAAAGAAUAUCACCAAGGCAUAUCAAUAUCACACUCGCUAAAACCAAAGACAAAGAAAGAAUCCUGAGAGCAGCUUGAGAAAAACAAAAAGUCACAUAGAGAGGAGAAACAAUAAGACUAAGCUCUGAGUAUUCAGCACAAACCAUGCAGACAAGAAGGCAAUGGUAUGACAUAUAUAAAACCUUGAAAGAAAAAAAAAAAAAAUGCUGACCAAGAACAAUAUAUCCUGCAAAAUUCUCAUUCAAAUAUGAUGGUGAAAUUAGGACAUUUCCAGAUAAACAGAAAUUAAGGAAAUAUGUAAAAUCCAAACAAAACUUGCAAGAAUUAUUAAAGGGAGUCCUUCAGUCUGAGACCACAGCCCAAAGCUAGGAUACAAGAUUGUAUAAGAUUGUAUCAGCCAGAUACAAAGCUAGGAAAUGAACUCUCAAGGACUAUCGAAAACCAAAAGAAUUACAACAGGGAACCAGAGAGGUUAAUCUGUAAAUGAUAAAAAUGUCAGAACAAUAAAAGAGGGAAUAACUGGUGUAGGUAUAGAACUUUCUAAUGGAGAGGAAGGCAACGUGAUACCGAGUAAUAAUAGACUGGUUCAAAUCUAGGAAGAUAGGGGUAAAUUUCAAGGUAACCACAAAGAAAUUUAACAAACCAACUCAUCAAAAUAAAGAAGAAAAACAUAAAGUCUCAAUAAAAACAAAAUCUAAAAAAAAAAAGAAAAAUCCACAAACAAAUGGAAUUCAGCAUAAGACAGUAACAGGAACAAAGGAAAUGUCAGCACCACAAAAAAAAAGCACUACAAAAUGACAGCAAUAAACUCACACCUAUGAAUAAUUACACUGAAUGUAAAUGGCCUAAAUGCCCCAUAAAGAGACAGAGAGUGACAGAAUGGAUAAAAAAAAAAAACAAGAUCCAUCAAUAUGCUGUCUACAAGAGACACACCUUAGAAAUAAAGAUGUAAAUUUAUUAAAAAUAAAAAGAUGGAAAAAUGUAUCAAGCAAAUAACUACCAAAAAAAAGGAGUGGCAAUGCUAAUCUCAAAUAAAAUAGACUUUAAAACACAAUCUGCCAUAAAAGAUAAAGAAGGGCACUAUAUAAUGAUUAAAGGGAUGAUCCAUCAUUAAAAUUUAACCAUAAUAAACAUUUAUGCACCCAAUGACAGGGCUCCAAAAUAUAUAAAACAAACUCUAACAGCACUGAAAAGAGAAAUUAACAGUUCCAUAGUAAUACUAAGAGACUUCAACACACCAUCUUCGGUAAAGGACAGAACAUCUAGAAAGAAACUCAACAAAGAUGCAAAAGAGCUAAAGGGUACAAUCAGCCAACUGGAACUCAUAGACAUAUAUGGAACACUCCACCCAACAGUUGCAAAGUGCACAUUCUUUUCCAGUGUACAUGGAACUUUCUCCAGAAUAGACCACAUCUUAGGCCACAGAGUAACCCUCAACAAAAUCCAAAACAUUGAGAUAAAACAAAGUAUCUUCUCUGACCACAGCACCAUCGAAGUAGAAAUUAACAACAGGAAGAGAGAGGGGGAAAAAAAAAAAAUUCCAUGGAAACUGAAUAACACCCUGCUUAAAAACCACUAAUAGAAGAAAUCAAAGAGAGAAUAAUAAUAAUUAAAAAAAAAAAACCUAAUUCAAAAUGGAUCAAAGA